rnacentral:rRNA from 1 species
UACAGAGGUCCCAAGCGUUUGUUCGGAUUCACUGGGCGUAAAGGGUGCGCAGGUGGUUUAGCAAGUUUGACGUGAAAGCCCCGGGCUUAACCCGGGAAUGGCGUUGAAAACUGUUUGAACUGGAGGGUCGGAGGGGGGGACUGGAAUUCUUGGUGUAGCAGUGAAAUGCGUAGAUAUCAAGAGGAACACCAGUGGCGAAGGCGAGUCCCUGGACGAUACCUGACACUGAGGCACGAAAGCUAGGGGAGCAAACAGG